rnacentral:rRNA from 1 species
AUUGAACGCUGGCGGCAUGCCUAACACAUGCAAGUCGAGCGAGCGGCGGACGGGUGUGUAAUGUCUGGGAGACUGCCUGCUGGGGGGGGAUAACUCCUGGAGAAGGUAGCUAAUACAGCCUAUCCUCAGAUGUGUCCCAAUGGGAUUAGCUAGUAGGUGGGGUAAUGGCUCACCUAGGCGACGAUCCCUAGCUGGUCUGAGAGGAUGACCAGCCACACUGGAACUGAGACACGGUCCAGACUCCUACGGGAGGCAGCAGUGGGGAAUAUUGCACAAUGGGCGCAAGCCUGAUGCAGCCAUGCCGCGUGUAUGAAGAAGGCCUUCGGGUUGUAAAGUACUUUCAGCGAGGAGGCGUUACUCGCAGAAGAAGCACCGGCUAACUCCGUGCCAGCAGCCGCGGUAAUUC